AAACCCAACAGCGAUACUGAUAAUACAUGUGUGCUUACUAUCCAGUUUUUAAAUUUUCUCAUGCAAUACUAAUCUCAUUGCUUUUGUAUGUCAGAUUUUAAAAUAGAGCAUGCUUAAUAUACUUCAGAUGUCUGCAAGGGGAACAGCAGCAAAUACCACAGUCCCAUGACAGCAAAGCUCCCUUUGGAUGACAUAGAUUUAUUACUUAGUAGUAUAUUAUGUAUUGGCUGUCCCACAUUUUGAAAUUUAAUGGACUCGUGGUGAUCAGAAUAAAAGAAGCCUUCGAUGUGAGGCCCAGGCAUUGAGUACCAUGUGUGCGAUUCACAAGCCUUGGCAUCUGAACAAUUUUUUGGAAGGAUCCAUCAGGACAACACGUCGGGGGUGUACUAGUGAAGUGAUUUUCCAAAUGUGCUACUCAGACCUGUAGCAUCAGCAUCACCGGAUAAUUUGUUAGAAAUUCCAACUGUUAGGCCCCACUUUAGACCAACUGAAUGUGAAACUCUGGGAGUACGUGGGGCCCAGCAAUUUGUGUUUUUACAAGACUUACCAGGUGAUUCUGAGAACCACUGUGCUAGUGAAUUGUUCCUGUCUGUGGCCACGUAGAAUAAGAAAACCAUAGGGUUGGAAAAUGGGGAAACUGGUGAGUGUUCGCUUAUGAGGAAAUGAAGAAUAGAUAGAAAAGAAUUAGUUAACUUUUGGAAUUCAAAAGAGAAGCAGUUUGUAAAAGCCAGGAAUUUGAUUUGAAGGACUAAUUGCUUGCAGAAUCUUUGCUUUCUCAGAGAGGGGCAAUCCAGAUCACUAGGUUACCGUGAAAUAUGUUGGUAUGGCUCUAAAAUUCUAGAAUAAUCUCUCUAGUGAGAAAAGGCAUACCUUUCCAUAUUAGGACAAAACUUCAAAUCAGGUUUGUAAAAUCCUAUAAGAUUAUUGUAUCCCAUUGCCAUGGCCAACUUGUUUGUCUCUGGAGAUCCCAGUUUCUACAUCUGAAAACCAUAUGCAUUCCUGCUCACCAGGAAUUAUCUCGCUGAAUGAAGCAAGAGAUUCAGGAUGUGUAAGAGAAUUUAUGAAGCAUUUGGAUUACCAAGAAAUGUGAAGUAUAAAGAUCAAGAAUGAUUAUUACAAACACUGAUGGUAAAGAGGUGUUUCGAAGUCGAUGCAAAAAAUGAGUUGCUUAUUUCAGUCUCUCUUUGAUAUAUCUGCCUUUUUAGUGCUGACUCUAUCAUGUAUUCACUAUUUGAUUUUCAGUGAAUCACAUUUUUUAAAGCUUUUAAUCUGUUUCCUCAAAAAAUAUAUUUUUUAAAAAUAUUUACUCAGGAUUGUUGUGAGAAUAAAAUUGAUUCGAUUGAUAUUUCAAAAAAGAAAUAUAUUUUUAAAAAAUAAAGCAAUACCAUUUUUGGAUAUGCUAGUGCUCUGACUGUUAUUUUAUGUCUGGGUUGAGGAAUCCUAAAGGA
rnacentral:lncRNA from 1 species